UAGGGAAUCUUCGGCAAUUGACGAAAGUCUGACCGAGCAACGCCGCGUGAGUGAAGAAGGUUUUCGGAUCGUAAAACUCUGUUGUUAGAGAAGAACAAGGACGUUAGUAACUGAACGUCCCCUGACGGUAUCUAACCAGAAAGCCACGGCUAACUACGUGCCAGCAGCCGUGGUAAUACGUAGGUGGCAAGCGUUGUCCGGAUUUAUUGGGCGUAAAGCGAGCGCAGGCGGUUUCUUAAGUCUGAUGUGAAAGCCCCCGGCUCAACCGGGGAGGGUCAUUGGAAACUGGGAGACUUGAGUGCAGAAGAGGAGAGUGGAAUUCCAUGUGUAGCGGUGAAAUGCGUAGAUAUAUGGAGGAACACCAGUGGCGAAGGCGGCUCUCUGGUCUGUAACUGACGCUGAGGCUCGAAAGCGUGGGGAGCAAACAGG
rnacentral:rRNA from 1 species